GAUGUUUGGGGCUUUUCUGAGGCUGAUGUGCAGCAUGUGACUGUUCUUUUCCCCAUGUGUUGUGCUGUUUUGCUUACUGUGAGAUGGUGCAAAUAUCCAGGUUUAGAGAUUCCUCUCUUGGAUUUUGAAGAGUCUCCUGAAUCUGACCUUUUACCACCUCUAAUGCUUCCAAGCCCUUGAACAGCACAGCAUGAAGACUGUUUGCUUGGCUGGAAGUGCACCAGCCAGGGACAGAAGUAGCCCAUCAUUUAAACCAAGUUAGUUAGAGAGAAGGAGACUGUGCUUGUUGAGCUGUCAGCAGAUGAUGUAAAAAAGGGGCAGCCAAAAUAAGCUAGAAAUGUCAAAAUAAUCAGCGACUGGAAAGCUACUGCUUUGUAUUAAGGGAAAAAGUUGACAGAAUUUUCACUAGCAACAGGGCUUUUAAUGAGCAACUGUUAAGGAAGAGAGGACCAACAGAAGUUACUGUUUGCUCGCUGGGAUUACCCUGUCAGCUGUAGUUCUUUUCAGAAAAGCAGAAGAAUGUCUUUAUGGUAAUUAAAAAUGCAGGAUAUACUGAGGACUGAGACUUUCUUUUUACACUUGGAAUAUGAAGCUUACAAUCAUCCUGGACAUUUGAAAAACCAUUUCUGCAACUGUAUUGAGAGCAGCCUUGCAGAUGUGAUGCAGUUCCAUGAAUGAGUCAAUGGCAGAUCAUUGUCCUAACCUUGU